AUGAGGGGAAAGUCUACUCAAUCUCAAAUUAUCAAACUUCCGGUGGCAAGUCCAAAAAUAUUGAAAAAGGAGCGUUGGAGUUUUUGCAUUUUUGUAGCAGAAGCAUACAAGAUUCUAGACUAG